rnacentral:snoRNA from 1 species
CUGCACUGUUCGUAACCUGGUUCAGUCUUUGGUAUGAACUUUGGGUUCCAUUCCAGUGCCAUAGUGAACUCCAGUGAGGCAGGGGAGCAGUGACUUUUUUGUGCUGGCUCCCUGUUCACUCUCUGGGAACACUG